CGGGCUUACACAUGGCAAAGUCGAAGCGGGGUGAUGGUGCUUGCACUAUCACUUAGCGGCGGACGGGUGAGUAAUGCUUAGGAAUCUGCCUAUUAGUGGGGGACAACAUCUCGAAAGGGAUGCUAAUACCGCAUACGUCCUACGGGAGAAAGCAGGGGAUCACUUGUGACCUUGCGCUAAUAGAUGAGCCUAAGUCGGAUUAGCUAGUUGGUGGGGUAAAGGCCUACCAAGGCGACGAUCUGUAGCGGGUCUGAGAGGAUGAUCCGCCACACUGGGACUGAGACACGGCCCAGACUCCUACGGGAGGCAGCAGUGGGGAAUAUUGGACAAUGGGGGGAACCCUGAUCCAGCCAUGCCGCGUGUGUGAAGAAGGCCUUAUGGUUGUAAAGCACUUUAAGCGAGGAGGAGGCUCUUUUGGUUAAUACCCAAGAUGAGUGGACGUUACUCGCAGAAUAAGCACCGGCUAACUCUGUGCCAGCAGCCGCGGUAAUACAGAGGGUGCAAGCGUUAAUCGGAUUUACUGGGCGUAAAGCGCGCGUAGGCGGCCAAUUAAGUCAAAUGUGAAAUCCCCGAGCUUAACUUGGGAAUUGCAUUCGAUACUGGUUGGCUAGAGUGUGGGAGAGGAUGGUAGAAUUCCAGGUGUAGCGGUGAAAUGCGUAGAGAUCUGGAGGAAUACCGAUGGCGAAGCAGCCAUCUGGCCUAACACUGACGCUGAGGUGCGAAAGCAUGGGGAGCAAAACAGGAUUAGAUACCCUGGUAGUCCAUGCCGUAAACGAUGUCUACUAGCCGUUGGGGGCCUUUGAGGCUUUAGUGGCGCAGCUAACGCGAUAAGUAAACCGCCUGGGGAGUACGGUCCAAGACUAAAACUCAAUGAAUUGAG
rnacentral:rRNA from 1 species